AAUAAGGAUGAAGGACUCUCCAAAGAAAAGAAAGACUUUUUGUUGAAUUAAAACUACCAAGAUGGUGAAGACAGUAACUAGGCAGUUAUUACUUGGUGCCCAAGAGAACCAAGACACUACCCUCGGCCAAGACCAUCAACUGCAGAGCUCUGGGCCAUGUCUGGAGCUCACCCUGUCAAGCACCCAUGGUUUGCCAGGCUCAGAGCCACAGCUGUUUGCUGACCUGGUUCCUGCGUGUAGCCUGUACAGGCUCAGGGACAACAGGGACAGCUUCAGGAAGUGAGCGGCAAAGAGAAUGACUUUAUACAAGGCCUCUACAUACUCGCCAAGCCCACUGCGUCCCACUGCGUGUGGGUCACGCCCCUACCCUGAAGCACUUGAGGGCUGCUCCAGGGCAGAGCAGCCGGCAGCCAAUGGCAGAGCAGAGGGACUAAAUGGUACAGACAGAAACUGAAGUGGCUGAGGGUGGGGUGCUCCACACUCGGAAGGAGCCGGCAGAAGGAGGCCGACCGUGGACAGAAGGAAAAGCAUUAUGGGAGCCUUGGACCCUCUGCUCUGGAGUUAUUGGGAUGGAUGAGUGUGGUCCCACUUCCAGACUUGAGUUUCCUGGUCUGUAAAAUGAGACCGAUAAGCCGGGCGUGAUGGCGCACACCUUUAAUCCCAGCACUCGGGAGGCAGNNNNNNNNNNNNNNNNNNNNNNNNNNNNNNNNNNNNAAAAAAAAAAAAAAAAAAAGUGGGGGGGGGACCGAUGACAUAAGCCUACAAGUUGUAGAUAAACCCUGCUUCUGUGUUCCAAUGACCUGGUUUGGC
ensembl:processed_transcript